UACGUAGGGAACAAGCGUUGUCCGGAAUCAUUGGGCGUAAAGCGCGCGUAGGUGGCCUCAUAAGUCCGCUGUGAAAGUCAAAGGCUCAACCUUUGAAAGCCGGUGGAUACUGUGAGGCUAGAGUACGGAAGAGGCGAGUGGAAUUCCUGGUGUAGCGGUGGAAUGCGCAGAUAUCAGGAGGAACACCAAUAGCGAAGGCAGCUCGCUGGGACGUUACUGACACUGAGGCGCGAAAGCGUGGGGAGCGAACAGG
rnacentral:rRNA from 1 species